rnacentral:rRNA from 1 species
UGGGGAAUUUUGGACAAUGGGGGCAACCCUGAUCCAGCCAUCCCGCGUGUGCGAUGAAGGCCUUCGGGUUGUAAAGCACUUUUGGCAGGGAAGAAACAGCCUGGGCUAAUAUCCCGGGCGACUGACGGUACCUGCAGAAUAAGCACCGGCUAACUACGUGCCAGCAGCCGCGGUAAUACGUAGGGUGCAAGCGUUAAUCGGAAUUACUGGGCGUAAAGCGUGCGCAGGCGGUUCGGAAAGAAAGGUGUGAAAUCCCAGGGCUUAACCUUGGAACUGCACUUUUAACUACCGGGCUAGAGUACGUCAGAGGGGGGUAGAAUUCCACGUGUAGCAGUGAAAUGCGUAGAGAUUAGGAAGAACACCAGUGGCGAAGGCGACUUUCUGGACCGUAACUGACGCUGAGGCAUGAAAGCGUGGGGAGCAAACA